rnacentral:lncRNA from 1 species
CCUCCCUCUUUUUUCUUUUCUUGCAGGGGGUGGUGGGAGCUGGAGGAGGAGGAGGAGGAGGAAUCACGUGCAAAUACAGGCUAAGUCCUGAUAAGAAUCCUGAAAGUAAACAAUGAAUUCCUACUAAUGGCUAAGUCACCAAGGUAAGAUCAAGUCUAAAUACACACCCUUAGUUAAAUAUGAUUUCAUUAACUCACAUUACGUGGCUCCGCUGAAGUUUUUCUCCUUCUGAUCCCUGUCGGGUGAAUUGCACACGAGGUUGAUCAAUCAUUUUCUGACAGUCUGUUUGCAUCUGCUCCGGGUUCGAAGCAGGGCAGCCUUUGAAAGGUUUCGCUUUGCUUUGCAAGUCUCGGGCAACCACUGCUUCUCUCAGCCUGCUCCCCUUGCUGGGUCACAAGUCUGCCCUUCUCCGGGGGCUAGUGCAGGCAUAGGCAAACUCCGGCCCUCCAGAUGUUUGGGACUACAAUUCCCAUCAUACCCUAGCUAACAGGACCAGUGGUCAGGGAUGAUGGGAAUUGUAGUCCCAAACAUCUGGAGGGCUGGAGUUUGCCUAUGCCUGGGCUAGUGAGGCUGGAUAGGCUUUCUUAGAGAACACCAGAGGCUUAGAAACUUAGGAAGUCAGACCAGUAUAAUUUACCGUGAUAGGCAGCAGCUCCCCAAGGCUCCAGGCACCCUACCUGGAGAUGUCUAGGAUUUAACCUGCGGCCUUCUGUAUGUGGAACGGAUGUUCCACCACAGACCUAUGGCCAGCGGCUCAUGUUGAGCAAUGAGAAUGAUUGGGCAAAGGUUGGGGAGAUCAAAUGGUAGGUGGAGCCGGAGCCAAUGACAGGCAGUCAGCUAACUCUGGUUUUGUCCCACCCUCCUCCUCCAUGUUGAGGUCUCCUCCUGCUGGUUCUCUAUCCCUUCUGCAGGCAUCACCUGGUUUCGGUAUAUUUUUAAUUAGCUUUUCGGAUCUACAAAACAGUUCUCAGCUCCAGGAUAUCGUCAAACCAGCAAUCGUCCUUAUCUGUACACAAAAUAAAUUGUGAAGCAUAUGUAAGAACGCAAAAACCACAGGUGUAUAGUAGUUUUGAAAGUUAUACUGAGGGCUGCAAGGUGGCCACAUAAUCACAACAUCAAGUUUAUGCUAUAUGUAACUCCUUGACCAAAUCCACUCAUAAGCAAGAGGGGGUUCUAGACCGUGUUCCUCUUUACCUACAAAUGAAAUAAAAGUGAACUGAAAUGGCCCCUGGUAACUCUUAAUUUGCCUGUUAAUUUCUCCAGAAGAGCAAUAUCCCAAACUUUAGUUAUACCAGGUUCUAAUAUUAGCCCCAAUAGUUAAUAAGUGUGGGCUAGUUGAGAGGAGACUGAGGUUGGUGGAGCAGCACCCCAAUAGACCUAAUGGACCAACCAGCCCCCAUUGCCUAUGGCCCCUUUCACUUGUUCAUUAUCCCUUCUGUAGGCAUAGUCUGGUUUCCAUACAUUUAAUGAGUGGCAGUGGACUACCAUUAUUGAAACAAAGCUGGUUGCUUUGAGGUGAGGUGGAAGUUUUCCUGUAAGUGCCAUAUCUGUACCAGAUCAUUCCCAUGUCGGGCUUGUUGUAUCCAGUCAUAACAGUCAGAAAGACAUACAUUCACAGACUUGGUGAGCAAGUGGCUAAAAAGCAUUCACUGCUGCCUGAAAGGGUGCUAUAACACAGCAAAGCAAGCAACACUUUGGGAAUUAUUAUUUCCACCAUGUAAUCCUUUGAGAAUGGUGCAGUUGCAUUUCAUCUGCUAACAGAUGCAGGCGCCCAUUUUUCGGACAAUAGGAAUUACCAGUAACUGGAGCAAGGGUCUUUGUGACAUCAAGAAUCCACAUCAGAUGUUGUAACAACUUUCUCUAGUACAGUAAAUGCACCCUUCAGUCUUGCUCAGCAUUCUGUAGCCCUUUUUGAAAGUGCUUGCAGAGGGUUUUGGUUGUUAAAAAAGUUGUCAAGUCGAAUGUGUCAAACCAAAAUUUGAAAGUCGGUGCAUUUGUGGGGGCAGGAGAGGAGGAGGGUAUUUAGAGGAGGAAGCUAUUUAGAGGAGUGGGGGAGAGAAAACAUCAGUUUUGGUCUUGCCCCAAACUGACAGAACACCCAAAGUAAAGACAAGGUAAAAUGAUCCACUCUUCUCUUGAGUCAGGACUUGAGAAAGAAGGUAAAUAUCCAUUCCAAAUGGUAUCCACUAAAGCACUAAAGGCUUGCUAAAUAAACAACUGUGCAAUGCUGAAAAUGUUCCCAAGAAGAUGCAGAGGAGAGAAAGAGUUAAGAUGGGCCAAAGGAGCAGGUGGGGAAAGUGGGCAAGCAGGUUUAUUAUGUAGAAAACACAGGCAACAUCAAAUUGCAAGUGGGAUUAUUAUUGUGUAGCAGAUUUGUACUGCUGCUGCUCAGGAAAUGCUAAGGAAACAAACAAACAAAAAUCCAUUUCAGUUUUCAAAUCAGUGGAUAAAACCAGUACAGUGUUGAAAAGUUCAGCACCCUGUCUUGGUUCAAAAUGGGAUGCACUUGUAUCCAAACACAGACAAAAAAAAUUGGUCAAUGGUCUCAGAAACUCCCAUGCAAAAUAUGAUUAUGAUAUUUCAAGGGGUGUCCAAACGCAUUACAAAUAAACAAAAAACAUUUCCAAAAUAUAUAGUAAAUUUGCGUUGUACAUUUAUAUCUUGCUGUUCUUGCAUGGAGCUUCCCACACCCCAAUGUUUAAAUCCCAAUGACCCCAAUGACUAAGAGAGAGCAACUGGUCCAAGGUCUUCUGACGAGCGACAGGUUUGAUACAACAUUUGAACCCAGGUCUCCUGAAGUCUGCAGUCUGCAGUCUCGCUGCACAUCAUGUGACUAGAGAAUAGCAUUGGCCAACCUUACAG